AUUGAACGCUGGCGGCAGGCCUAACACAUGCAAGUCGAGCGAGCGGCGGACGGGUGAGUAAUGCAUGGGGAUCUGCCCGAUGGAGGGGGCUAACUACGGGAAACGGUGGCUAAUAACGCAUACUAUAGGAUGAACCCAUAUGGGAUUAGCGAGUAGGUGGGGUAAAGGCUCACCUAGGCGACGAUCUAUAGCUGGUCUGAGAGGAUGAUAAGCCACACUGGGACUGAGACACGGCCCAGACUCCUACGGGAGGCAGCAGUGUGGAAUAUUGCACAAUGGGCGCAAGCCUGAUGCAGCCAUGCCGCGUGUAUGAAGAAGGCCUUCGGGUUGUAAAGUUCUUUCGGUAGCGAGGCGUUAACUACAGAAGAAGCACCGGCUAACUCCGUGCCAGCAGCCGCGGUAAUAC
rnacentral:rRNA from 1 species